CUUCCCGCCUUUAACUCCAGCUACCAGAAACUGCAGUAGAUUAUCUGGCAAUAAUUCGAGGAAUAUUCUAUCUGCGAAGUUGCUGGAUUCCAAGCUGUGCCUUGCUCGCUUUUUUGUCGUAUUGAGGCAGAAAAAUUUUUUAUUCGACUCAAAAUGGCGAGAGCAGCAGCAGCGGCAAUUCGAAUGCCCCACCGCAGCAGCGCGUUUUUCAACCAGCACACACACACGACGAAGUGAAAAAUACGAUUUUUUCCAGCCAAAUUUAACCCACUUACCCGGCCCGGAUUUUUAUCUGCUUACUUGCAAAAAAUAUACAAAAAUUUAAAUUUUACAAUUCCAAUAAUUUCAGAGCAUUCGGUUAAAGUUAAGAUAAAGAAAUGUUUGCACAAAUUUUGCCUUAAAAAAUUCGAGUGUAGAAAACGCGACUUGCGAUUCUUUCGACGUGAUACAGAAAGAGUAAGCAAAUGGGAAUGAUAGAGGCCGAUAGCGCUCAGCUGAUUGUAGCGCGCCAAAGCGACCAAAUCACGCAUCUAACAAUGAUGCCACUUUUCAAUGUCGAUAGGGGGAUAAUUUCAUUCUUAAACUGAGGUAACAAAAUGCAUAUAUACUUUAUAACGAUACUUUUGUUUA